UACCUACUGUCGGUCACGUGACGACAAUUUUGGCCACUACACCUGUGAUACCAAUAGUGGAUCUAAAAUAUGCUUAAAAGGCUGGCAGGGGAGGGAUUGUAAUGUUCAGAUUCAGACUAACCAUUGUCAAAGUUCACCUUGCUCAAAUAGCGGCACGUGUCUCAACUCAGAUGGAGGCUAUCGUUGCCUCUGUGUUGAAGGAUUCACUGGCACACGAUGCGACAUAGAAAACCUUUGCCAUUUUAACCCUUGUAAGAAUGGCGGUACUUGCCAGACCCUUGA